GGAGGAGGAGAGAGCCCGAAAAGAAAAGGCAGAAAAAGCUGAGCGGCUGAGGAAGAAGUGGGAGGAGGAGGAAGAGGAGAGACUGAGGCAGAUCUCAGUACCUGUCGAACCAAAAAAGUGUCCUCCUCUGGGUUUGGAGUCUCACCGGGUGGAGGACGACCAGCUGCUGGCGUCCUCGCAGUCUCACCACGGCUUCGCGGCUCAGAGGGGACGACUCAACA